CCUACGGGAGGCUGCAGUAGGGAAUAUUGCUCAAUGGGGGAAACCCUGAAGCAGCAACGCCGCGUGGAGGAUGAAGGUUUUCGGAUGUUAACCUCCUUUGGUUAGAAAGAUUAAUGACGGUUUCAACCGAAUAAGAACCGGCUAACCCGGUGCCAGCAGCCCGGGUAAUACGGAGGGUGCAAGCUUUACUCGGAAUCACUGGGCGUAAAGAGCGCGUAGGGGGGAUAGCAAGUCAGAUGUGAAAUCCUAUGGCUUAACCAUAGAACUGCAUUUGAAACUGUUAUUCUAGAGUAUGGGAGAGGUAGGUGGAAUUCUUGGUGUAGGGGUAAAAUCCGUAGAGAUCAAGAGGAAUACUCAUUGCGAAGGCGACCUGCUAGAACAUAACUGACGCUGAUGCGCGAAAGCGUGGGGAGCAAACAGGAUUAGAUACCCGGGUAGUC
rnacentral:rRNA from 1 species